rnacentral:rRNA from 1 species
UCCAUAGGUUAAUGAGGCGAACCGGGGGAACUGAAACAUCUAAGUACCCCGAGGAAAAGAAAUCAACCGAGAUUCCCCCAGUAGCGGCGAGCGAACGGGGAGCAGCCCAGAGCCUGAAUCAGUGUGUGUGUUAGUGGAAGCGUCUGGAAAGGCGUGCGAUACAGGGUGACAGCCCCGUACACAAAAAUGCACAUAUUGUGAGCUCGAUGAGUAGGGCGGGACACGUGGUAUCCUGUCUGAAUAUGGGGGGACCAUCCUCCAAGGCUAAAUACUCCUGACUGACCGAUAGUGAACCAGUACCGUGAGGGAAAGGCGAAAAGAACCCCGGCGAGGGGAGUGAAAAAGAACCUGAAACCGUGUACGUACAAGCAGUGGGAGCACGCUUAGGCGUGUGACUGCGUACCUUUUGUAUAAUGGGUCAGCGACUUAUAUUCUGUAGCAAGGUUAACCGAAUAGGGGAGCCGAAGGGAAACCGAGUCUUAACUGGGCGUUAAGUUGCAGGGUAUAGACCCGAAACCCGGUGAUCUAGCCAUGGGCAGGUUGAAGGUUGGGUAACACUAACUGGAGGACCGAACCGACUAAUGUUGAAAAAUUAGCGGAUGACUUGUGGCUGGGGGUGAAAGGCCAAUCAAACCGGGAGAUAGCUGGUUCUC